rnacentral:tRNA from 1 species
GGAGGCGACCGAGCGCCUGGUGGGCUCCGCGGUCUUCAAAACCGUUGGGGGGUCGCAAGGCCCCCGGCAGGUUCGAUUCCUGUCCGCCUCCG